rnacentral:rRNA from 1 species
UAGGGAAUAUUGGACAAUGGGGGCAACCCUGAUCCAGCCAUGCCGCGUGAGUGAAGAAGGCCCUCGGGUUGUAAAGCUCUUUUGUCCGGAAAGAAAAGCUUCGGGUUAAUACCCCGGGGUUCUGACGGUACCGGAAGAAUAAGCACCGGCUAACUUCGUGCCAGCAGCCGCGGUAAUACGAAGGGUGCAAGCGUUACUCGGAAUUACUGGGCGUAAAGCGUGCGUAGGUGGUUGUUUAAGUCUGAUGUGAAAGCCCUGGGCUCAACCUGGGAAUGGCAUUGGAAACUGGGCAGCUAGAGUGCGGUAGAGGAUAGUGGAAUUCACGGUGUAGCAGUGAAAUGCGUAGAGAUCGGGAGGAACAUCUGUGGCGAAGGCGACUGCCUGGACCAGCACUGACACUGAGGCACGAAAGCGUGGGGAGCAAAC